rnacentral:rRNA from 1 species
GACGAACGCUGGCCGCGCGCCUAACACAUGCAAGUCGAACGGGACUAGUGACCGGAGAUUAGAUGAGUUCUAGUUUGCGAUCACUAGUUCAGUGGCGGACGGGUGAGUAAAGCAUGAGCAACCUGGCUACUAGAGGGGGAUAGCUUUUGGAAACAGAAGAUAAUACCGCAUAAAUCAAAGAUUUCGCAUGAGUAUUUUUAGGAAAAGGAGCAAUCCGCUAAUAGAUGGGCUCAUGUCCGAUUAGCUAGUUGGUGGGGUAAAGGCCUACCAAGGCGACGAUCGGUAGCCGUACUGAGAGGUUCAACGGCCACAUUGGGACUGAGACACGGCCCAGACUCC